UACGGAGGGUGCAAGCGUUAUCCGGAUUCACUGGGUUUAAAGGGUGCGUAGGUGGGUUGGUAAGUCAGUGGUGAAAUCUCCAGGCUUAACUUGGAAACUGCCAUUGAUACUAUCAAUCUUAAAUACCGUGGAGGUCAGCGGAAUAUGUCAUGUAGCGGUGAAAUGCUUAGAUAUGACAUAGAACACCAAUUGCGAAGGCAGCUGGCUACACGAAUAUUGACACUGAUGCAC
rnacentral:rRNA from 1 species